CAGCCGCGGUAAUUCCAGCUCCAAUAGCGUAUAUUAAAGUUGCUGACAGUUAAAAAGCUCGUAGUUGGAAUUUCGGGACCAAUAUGUCGGUCGUGCCUCGGUACGUACUGGCAUCGUUGGUUUCUCCCUUCUGACGAACCAUGAUGUCAUUUAUUUGGUGGUCGUGGGGAAUUCAGGACUGUUAACUUUGAAAAAAUUAGAGUGUUUAAAGCAGGCUCACGCUUGAAUACAUUAGCAUGGAAUAAUGAAAUAGGACGUUUUGAUUUCUAUUUUUUGUUGGUUUCUAGGAUCGACGUAAUGAUUAAUAGGGAUAGUUGGGGGCAUUAGUAUUCAAUUGUCAGAGGUGAAAUUCUUGGAUUUAUUGAAGACUAACUACUGCGAAAGCAUUUGCCAAGGAUGUUUUCAUUAAUCAAGAACGAAGUUAGGGGAUCGAAGACGAUCAGUACCGUCGUAGUCUUAACCAUAAACUAUGCCGACUAGGGAUCGGAUGAUGUUAAUUUUAUAAUGACUCAUUUGGCACCUUACGGGAAAC
rnacentral:rRNA from 1 species